UACAGGGGGGGCAAGCGUUGUUCGGAAUUACUGGGCGUAAAGGGCUCGUAGGCGGCCAAUUAAGUCCGACGUGAAAUCCCCAGGCUUAACCUGGGAACUGCGUCGGAUACUGAUUGGCUUGAAUCCGGGAGAGGGAUGCGGAAUUCCAGGUGUAGCGGUGAAAUGCGUAGAUAUCUGGAGGAACACCGGUGGCGAAGGCGGCAUCCUGGACCGGCAUUGACGCUGAACAGCGAAAGCCAGGGGAGCAAACGGG
rnacentral:rRNA from 1 species